rnacentral:tRNA from 1 species
GCCGCAGGGCUCAGGUGUGGAGCAAGUCAUAGAUAUAAAUAUGCCGGCGGUUUGACUCCGCCCUGCGACACCA